rnacentral:miRNA from 1 species
CGAGCGUGGUGGUGGUGG